rnacentral:tRNA from 1 species
GUCCAGUGUAGCCUAAUGGACAUGGCAUCUGCCCGGUAAGCGGAAGGUCGUGGGUUCGAUUCCCGCCCCUGGACA